AUACGUAGGUGGCAAGCGUUGUCCGGAUUUACUGGGUGUAAAGGGCGUGUAGGCGGAGAUGCAAGUCAGGAGUGAAAUCUAGGGGCUCAACCCCUAAACUGCUUUUGAAACUGUAUCCCUUGAGUAUCGGAGAGGCAGGCGGAAUUCCUAGUGUAGCGGUGAAAUGCGUAGAUAUUAGGAGGAACACCAGUGGCGAAGGCGGCCUGCUGGACGACAACUGACGCUGAGGCGCGAAAGCGUGGGGAGCAAACAGGAUUAGAUGCCCUGGUAGUCCACGCUGUAAACGAUGAAUACUAGGUGCGGGGGGACUGACCCCCUCCGUGCCGCAGUUAACACAAUAAGUAUUCCACCUGGGGAGUACGAUCGCAAGAUUGAAACUCAAAGGAAUUGACGGGG
rnacentral:rRNA from 1 species